rnacentral:rRNA from 1 species
AUGGAGAGUUUGAUCCUGGCUCAGGACGAACGCUGGCGGCGUGCUUAACACAUGCAAGUCAAGGAGAACAUUUUCUUCGGAAAAUUAUUAAACUGGCGAACGGGUGAGUAACGCGUAGGCAACCUGCCCUAGAGAUUGGGAUAACCCCGGGAAACCGGGACUAAUACCGAAUAAUGCAGCGGAUCCUUUGGGAUACAGUUGUUAAAGUGGGCUUCGGCUCACACUUUAGGAUGGGCCUGCGUCUGAUUAGCUUGUUGGUGAGGUAAUGGCUCACCAAGGCGAUGAUCGGUAGCUGGUUUGAGAGGAUGAUCAGCCACACUGGGAUUGAGAUACGGCCCAGACUCCUACGGGAGGCAGCAGUGGGGAAUUUUG